rnacentral:rRNA from 1 species
UACAGAGGUCCCAAGCGUUGUUCGGAUUUACUGGGCGUAAAGGGUGCGUAGGUGGCGAGGUAAGUUCGAUGUGAAAUCUCCGAGCUCAACUCGGAAAUGGCAUUGAAUACUAUCCCGCUUGAGGGUCGGAGGGGAGACUGGAAUUCUCGGUGUAGCAGUGAAAUGCGCAGAUAUCGGGAGGAACACCAAUGGCGAAGGCAGCUCGCUGGGACGUUACUGACGCUGAGACGCGAAAGCGUGGGGAGCAAACAGG